CCGGGACGGUGCGCGCGGAGAGGGCCCGGUCGUGCCGCGUGAACGCCUCCCUCGCCGCGUCGCGCGAGGAGACGACGACGGCCGUGGUGAGGCCCAGCCUGAGGCGCAUGACGGGGCCGUGGACGCGCGCGAGGCGCGCCAGCGCGUGGUGGAGGUUGCCGUUGCCGCCGCGCAGGUCGAGGAGGUUGCCGAGGAGCGGGAGCGGCCUGGGGCCCGGCGGCAGCCGUCGGGAUCCGGUGCUGCUGCUGCCGGAGCGUGGUCGUAGUAUGCUGGUCAGGUAGUAGAGGAACGGCACGGCGAUCAGAGCACACAGCAACCAGUGCUCGCGCUCCAUUUUCG
rnacentral:lncRNA from 1 species